UCUUUUUGUUAUUAUAAUGUAUGUGUACUGUCAAGUAGCUGUGUUUGGAAACUAAUUUCAAAUUUGAACAUCUCACGCUCCUGUUCACCCACAACCCUUCCUCCACAACUGUUUUUUUAUUUUGUAUUUCUCCCCGUUUUGGUCCACCACCGUGGCCAGCGGCGGGGCUGCUGGCACCAUCGCCGCUGGUCAUCUAGCCGCCCAACAGUUCCGACAUCCCCAUCCAGCAAAGGGAUUACCACCAUGGUAACCCCUAACCCUAAACCCCAAUUUAAUUUUUCCCUAACCCCCAAAUUGAUUAUCCAUAACCUAACCCCAAUUUAAUUUUAACCUAUCCCCCAAUUUAAUAUUUACCUAACCGCCAAUUUAAUUUAACCCAAAACCCCCAAUUUGAUUUUAAACAUAAACCCCAAUUUAAUUUAACUCAAAACCCCCAAAUUGAUUUAGAUCUAAAGCCCAGAUUGAUUUUAACCCUAGUCCUCAAAUUAUUUUAACCUAAACCCCUAAAUCAAUUUUAACCUAAAUCCCCAAAUCAAUUUUAACCUAAACCCCUAAAUGAAUUUCACCCUAAAUCCCCAAAUCAAUUUCACCCUAAACCCCGGAAUCAAUUUCACCGUAAAUAUCCAAAUCAAUUUUAAAACUCAACCC
rnacentral:lncRNA from 1 species